rnacentral:tRNA from 1 species
GGCCCCUUGGUCAAGCGGUUAAGACACCGCCCUUUCACGGCGGUAACACGGGUUCGAAUCCGUCCCCCUCCACCA